CGCCCCAGCGCUGGGGCACACCCGCCUCGGCCGCGCAUCGCCCCCGCCAGCCCCCGGGGGGGUGGCUCCGGCCCCGGGGCUCCGCGCUGGCACUGACAGCCGGCGGCCACGACACACCUCCCCUCCCACCUGACCUGCCACGGCCGCGACGGGCCUCAGCAGCCCCCCCACCCCAGACUUUUUGGCACCUUCCCCGCUCCCCGGGCCGGGCCGCCGCGCAACCUCUCCUCUCGAGGCGGGAGCCCCCGCCCGGGCCCCGCAGCGGACAGGGCGGCCCCGCGGCAGGGACGCGGGCCCCGGCUGCGGAGGGGAGGCGGCGCGCACGAAACGAUCCGACUGCAAAGGGCUCCGCGAUGAGCCGCGACGCGCAGGUAUCAGCAUUAUUCUUGGCAGCAGCAGAACGCAUCAGAAGAUUUCCCUAUGUGAAGCUCUGUAGGAUGAUACACCAGUGUAGGGCUUGGAGCAGGCACUCGAGGCAGAAAGUCCAGUGAAUGCUGAGAGUGGGCUGGUCUCUGGGGAACUGGAAGCAGCUAUGGACUGUCUACUACCAAGGAGCCUUCUGAGGAUUUCAGUUAAGUCACCUCAAACCAUUCCUGAAGUUCUUCAGAUAGAUGAAGGGUACCUAGGAAACAGCUGCACGUGUGUUCAGCCAUGCCGGUUACUUUCUAGUAAGAAAAGUACUGCUGAGCUAAUAGUUUCCGUCACAGGCUGUCAUCUUUAAUAUUCAGAUGGCAACACAUGCAUUCAGACAGUGAUGUGUAAAACAGAAGAUAGUGAAUAUGCGGAGUACAACCAAGUUGUAGUGACUUUACUUUGAAUUGCACAAGUAGUGACUUGCUGGAAUCAUCGCCGUUAGGGAGCAGAGAUUCUCAACUCCAUGCAGAAACAGUCCGGCUAUCAGACGUGGUCCUGCUAAGAGAUUUCAGUCAUCAGGACCAUCUGCAACACAACUCGCAGAUGUACGAAGAGUAAGUUACAGUCGGCGAUACAACGGGGGUCCUGUGUUUCAGGUCUCUACUUCAAACCAAAUGCACGGAGCUUUUAAUUACUCGUGUAGGCUGGCAGGAGUUUCCUGACCACAAACCUGUUCAUCAAGUUGACUAAUUAACGUAUUUCUUUCUGAAUGUUCCAGUGUCAAUGUUAGUCACUGUACGAACAUUUGUAACAAUAGAAGGAUCAGGCAACACCCAAGGUCAUUCCCAACUCAAAAUAUGAAAAUACAUUCUUGGUGUACUUUCCAUUUGCUGUCACUUUUAUCACUUUUCCCACUUUGAAGCUGACUGAGAGCUGCUUCCAGGAAACUGAUCAUGACCCAAGCAGAUAAUGUGUUUCAUCCUGGUACACACUAAAGAGAAAAAUGUGAUGAUUUUUGAAAAAUAACAUCUCCUUUCUUCAAAGGCAGAAAUCAGUUAAUUCUAUUUGUUCUUCAGUUUUCAGGGGUAUCUGAUUUUUCUCUUAAUUUCACAUACAACCUCCUUUUUCUUAUCUUUUGCUAAAUACCAGUAUUGUGCCAUUUUCAGGCUCACAGGGAUAAAAGAGAUGACUCGUUUUAUUAGUAUGACCAACCUUGGAGAUGGAUGUUUAAGAUAUAAUUAUGCCUAGACUUUCAGUUGCCUGAAUCUUAAAGGAAGAAUUUUUUAAAGACAACUUUAAUAUGAAGUGUACCUAUUAAAGCUGGUGAUAAUACUAAUAAUCUGAGGCUAGGAUGAGUUCUUGCAUAUUUAAUUACUAUAGUAUGAUAUUAUCAAGUAGGAUGCCAGUGAGGAAAAACAAACCAUACUAUUGAAUAAAAAGAGGCUUUUUACUCCAUUUUAUUGAGUAACGAAUGCUGUAAACAAAUACCAUUUCUGCAUCAUUUCCA